GUAGUACUCCCUCCGUCCCAAAAUUCUUGUCUUACAUUUGUCUAAAUACGGAUGUAUCAAGUCAUGUUUUAGUAUUAGAUACAUCUGUAUCUAGACAAAUCUAAGACAAGAAUUUUGGGAUGGAGGGAGUACUAC
rnacentral:pre_miRNA from 1 species